GUCGAGUGUUAAGCCCUUCCUCCAAAGUGUGAUGUCACCAGCAUUCUAGGUGAGGCUCUCUGGAGGAGACGCCAUCUUAGCAGAUGACAUUCUUUACACGAUGGGAGGGGGUGGUUCAAGCAGCCAUUUUGAGCAGUUAAUGAACACAGGAUGGGAGGGGAUGCUCCAACAGCAAUUCUAAGUAAAAAUAAAUUUUACUAACAUUAAUUUACGUCCACA